rnacentral:rRNA from 1 species
AGAGUUUGAUCCUGGCUCAGGACGAACGCUGGCGGUGCGCCUAAUGCAUGCAAGUCGAACGGGCGAAGGGCUUCGGCCCCUAGCCAGUGGCAGACGGCUGAGUAACACGUAAGUGAUAUGCCCCGGAGAGGGGGAUAAGCCGGAGAAAUCCGGUCUAAUACCCCGUACGCUCCCUGUAUUGCGAUAUAGGGAGGAAAGGUUCCGGCGCUCUGGGAGUAGCUUGCGGCCUAUCAGGUAGUUGGUGGGGUAAAAGCAUACCAAGCCGAAGACGGGUAACCGGUGUGAGAGCACGAUCGGUCAGAGGGGGACUGAGACACGGCCCCCACUCCUACGGGAGGCAGCAGCAGGGAAUCUUGCGCAAUGGGCGAAAGCCUGACGCAGCGACACCGCGUGGGGGAUGAAGGCUUUCGAGUUGUAAACCCCUUUUCCCGGGGAUGAGAAAGGACAGUACCCGGGGAAUAAGGUUCGGCUAACUACGUGCCAGCAGCCGCGGUAAUACGUAGGAACCGAGCGUUGUCCGGAUUUACUGGGCGUAAAGUGCGCGUAGGCGGUCCGUUAAGUCUCAUGUGAAAUCUCCCGGCUCAACUGGGAGGGGUCAUGGGAUACUGGCAGACUGGAGUGCAGCAGAGGAAAGCGGAAUUCCCCGGAGUAUGGGUGCAAUGCGUAAAAUCCCGGGAGGAACACC